ACAAAAACAAGUUUCAAGUUAUAGAGAAAUGAAGGAAAAGUAAAAAGUGCUUUGAGGAGAAGAAAGGCAGAGACGUUGUACUGGACACAGAGAUGAGCUAUGCAGAUCUUCCUUCAAGAAAAGACUUACUGAGAAUUUUUGCAUCUAUGGUUAUCAGUGUUACUGACCUGAAUGACAUUAUCCGGAUAGCUUGGCCCAGCCUGGUCAUCCCACCCUAUUGGCAGCAGGACAACUGUGAGACAGAAACAAACAGCCUGAGCCAGGCGAAAUCAGCCCCUGGGGAAAGUGGAAAUGGGGUGCAGAGAGCUUGUGGAAAGAUGAAUAAAAACAAGGAAGAAGUUUGGGUAGGGAUGUGAUAAAAUGAAAACUGGAAUAUGGGAUUCUAAUUUAAAAAGAAUAAUGCUGAUUGGCAUGUGGCCAACUGAACUGAACAGAUGACACUGAAGACCAGAUUCUACUUGUUCUCCCUCCACUGGUUCCACAUAUCUACGUACUUGGUCACUGAGGAAACCCCUAUAAUUGUAGGUAAAUAUUAGAAAAGGGAAUGGGGGAGUCACAGGAUUAACUGAAAUUAUUUUAUCACUCCAGGGACUUUCUGCUGUAGUAGAAAUUCACUAGUUAGAACAAAAUAAAUAAUAUGAAAUUCUUGAAUAUCUGAGUUUGAGGAUAAGAUUCAAAUAUGAAACAUUCACACAUUACAUAUAUUUUCCCUCUUGUCUUGAAUUUCCAGAUUCUAUCUCCUAUAGACUGAAUGUUGUGUCUACCUAAAAUUCAGUGUUGAAAUCCCAACCCCCCAAGGUGAUGGCAUUUGAAGGGUGGGACUUUUGGGGGAUGAUUAGGUUGGAUUAGUGCCAUUAUAAUAAAGACCCCAGAGAGCUCCCUCACUCCUCCUACUGUAUGAGGACACAGUGAGACGAUAGCCAUCUAUGAACCGGGAAGUGGGCCCUCACCAGGCACUGAAUCUGCUGAUGUCUUGAUCUUGGCCUUCUCAGCCUUCAUAAUGGUAAGAAACACAUUUGUGUUGUUUCUAAGCUACUUAGUCUAUAGCAUUCUGUUAUGGCAGCCCAAAUGGACUGAGACACCAUCUAAAGUAAAAAUCAUGUAAAAUAUCUUAAGAAAGAUUCAUAUUUUGUGAUACUUGUGAACAAGGAAGUACAGGGAAGUUUCUCAUGAGGUUUUCAUUCCUGUUCUCUAUAAUUGUACUGCUAAUAUCGAUGCAACAUAGCUCCAUUUGAAAACAACAAUGACAAUAACCCCCAAAUCUUUCUUGCUAAACUGAACUAAACCUCUAACUGAGGGAUAGGUCUUAGUACUCAUUCAUUUCACAGACAUUUACUAAACACCAGUUAUAGGUCAGGCAGCAUGCCAGGUACUGGGAAUAUGCUGACAAGAAGAAUAUAUGAUUUAGGGAGAGGAAUUGCUUGCAAGAAGAUGAGCUAAGAUUCCGUGUGAAAUAAGAGUGACGGGAGCAUAGUUCUUACAAAUGAUUUUUGCAUAAGGUUAUUUAAUUAUACACAAAUGGAAAGGGGAUAAUCUGUAAUUUCCUCUCUCAACCAACAUUCUCAUUCCCUAAAUAGCUUUGGACGGGGCCAACACACCCAGAAUGCUGUGGGCAAGUGUGUUUUCAUUGGUUGAUCUGGCUUGCUAAUUCAAAGUAUAUGACCUCACUUCUCAAUUACUCACUUAACAUUCCAGUACAUUUUGGGAAUAACUGAUAAUUUUGGAAGCUGCCAAGAAGAUGGAUGGAUGGUAACUGACUUUACAGAUCUAGGAAAGCUGAAACACAACCUACCAAUAAGCUAAUUAAAAUUGCUGAGCUCUGGAAAUGCUCAUGAAUGGAAAGUACUAGGUGUUUCUGAAGGUGAGAAAGCAGGGUGUGGCUGAAAGCAGGAGGAUAGGUUGACAGUGUUAUAAGGAGGCGUUUCACUGUUUCCUACCAGCUUCUUUAGAAUAUUUAGGAAGCAUUUUAAAUCUGGGGAUCCUGAGCUUCUCUUGCAAAUCUGAAUGAAUCAAAAACAAACCAAAAAAAAAUUGGAUUUUAAAGUGUAAGCAACAAUAGUUUAUGUCAACCAAUUUCUAGAAUCACGACUAGAGUGAAACUUGUACAUCACCUCAAAUAAAAAGGCAAAUGUCAAAAUCAAACAUUAUGAAAUUUUUUCUACAUCAACAAAACCCCUAUUUUUUUCCUGAAAACAAGAAUCUAAAACUAACUCAUACAAAGCACAAGAUCCCAAGGGACAUUCUGUAAAGAAAAGAAAUAAAACUCUUAGUCAGUAGACAUUCUGACGGCAAGUUAUCCUCACCCAGAGAGACCAGGUUUCUGUAGUUUUCUAACAUCACACCCUGAUACAAAUUCUUCUGAGCUGGUUCCAGGUGUUCCCACUCCUCCAAAGAGAAUUCUACAGCCGCAUCUCUGAAUGUCAACAGUCCCUGAAAUAAAAAUAAAGAAUACAUUGAUC